rnacentral:lncRNA from 1 species
AUUUCUCUCCCUCUCUCUCAAUCCUCAGAAGCUCCGCAACAAUGGCUGCCACUCUCUCCACACUCACUCUGGGCACUCCCUCCUACCCCGCCACGCCCGCCGCCGCCUCCUUCCCCUCCCACUCCACCAAACCCACCCUCCAAUUCCCCUUCAACCCCCAAAUCCCCACCCUCACCCACCGCGCCACCCACGUCCGCCCCCUCGCCGCCGUCGAAGCCCCAGAAAAGAUCGAGAAGCUCGGCACCGACAUCUCCAGUCUCACCCUUGAGGAAGCCCGCAUCCUCGUCGACUACCUCCAGGACAAGCUCGGCGUCUCCGCCGCUGCCCUCGCUCCAGCCGCCGC